rnacentral:ncRNA from 2 species
CCCCACGAUAGAGGAGCGGGCACGAUGGUCCUGGUGGAGCCGGCGGGCGAGGAUUCCAGGAGAGGCGAUGACCGCCGAACUUCCACGUCAGGCAUGGCGUGGCGGUGGGCUCGGCGGGAAUACCGCCGGGACUGUCCGUGGAGAAGAUCUGCGGGAGCGCUAUCCCCGGC